GAUUACAUAGUGUAGCGGUUAGCAUGUCUGCUUUACACACAGAAGGUCCUGGGUUCGUGCCCCAGCGGAACCA
rfam:Pteropus alecto contig89067, whole genome shotgun sequence.